ensembl:snRNA U1 U1 spliceosomal RNA
AUACUUACUUGGCAGGGGAAAUACCAUGCUCACGAAGGUGGUUUUCCCAGGGCGAGGCUCACCCACUGCACUCUGGAUGUACUGACCCCUGCGAUUUCCCCAAAUGUGGGAAACUCGACUGCAUAAUUUGUAAUAGUGGGUGACUGCGUUCAUGCUUUCCCCUA